rnacentral:rRNA from 1 species
AACAUGGAGAGUUUGAUCCUGGCUCAGGAUGAACGCUGGCGGUCUGCUUAACACAUGCAAGUCGAACGGAGCUUUUCGGAGCUUAGUGGCGGACGGGUGAGUAACACGUGAGAAUCUACCCUCAG